rnacentral:snRNA from 1 species
AAUCUUAGCUGGCGCCGGGAUUGAGGUUAUCACGGACGCCCUGGCCCCAGAUGGAGGCUCGCCCUCAACCUCUGGCGGGUUGAAACCUGCGACGAUCCCUAAUCGGGCUCGCUCGAGUGCCUAGAUUUUGCCAGUGGAGAGGUCUUCGGACCAUCCCUU